AGAGGGGGCAAGCGUUGCUCGGAAUUACUGGGCGUAAAGGGCGUGUAGGCGGGUCGACAAGUCGGUCGUGAAAUCUCCGGGCCCAACCUGGAGGGGCCGGCCGAGACUGUGGGUCUUGAGGGGCGCAGAGGAGCCUGGAAUUCCCGGUGUAGCGGUGAAAUGUGUAGAGAUCGGGAGGAACACCGGUGGCGAAGGCGGGGCUCUGGGCGCGACCUGACGCUGAGGCGCGAAAGCGUGGGGAGCAAACGGGAUUAGAUACCCCGGUAGUCCACGCGGUAAACGAUGACGACUAGGUGUGGGGGGGUUCAGUCCCUUCCGUGCCGCAGCUAACGCAUUAAGUCGUCCGCCUGGGGAGUACGGUCGCAAGGUUG
rnacentral:rRNA from 1 species